UACGUAGGGUGCAAGCGUUGUCCGGAAUUAUUGGGCGUAAAGAGCUCGUAGGCGGUUUGUCGCGUCUGCUGUGAAAACCCGAGGCUCAACCUCGGGCCUGCAGUGGGUACGGGCAGACUAGAGUGCGGUAGGGGAGAUUGGAAUUCCUGGUGUAGCGGUGGAAUGCGCAGAUAUCAGGAGGAACACCAACGGCGAAGGCACUCUGCUGGGCCGACACUGACACUGAGAGACGAAAGCUAGGGGAGCGAAUGGG
rnacentral:rRNA from 1 species